rnacentral:rRNA from 1 species
CGUGGGGGAUGAAGGUCUUCGGAUUGUAAACCCCUUUCGGGAGGGAAGAUGGAAUGGGGUAACCCAUUCGGACGGUACCUCCAGAAGCAGCCACGGCUAACUUCGUGC